rnacentral:tRNA from 1 species
UAGCUCAGCUGGUUAGAGCGCCAGGUUGUGGCCCUGGAGGUCGUGGGUUCGAAACCCAU